rnacentral:rRNA from 1 species
AGUGAACGCUGGCGGUAGGCCUAACACAUGCAAGUCGAACGGCAGCACAGUAAGAGCUUGCUCUUACGGGUGGCGAGUGGCGGACGGGUGAGGAAUACAUCGGAGUCUACUUUUUCGUGGGGGAGAACGUAGGGACACUUACGCUAAUACCGCAUACGACCUACGGGUGAAAGCAGGGGAUCUUAGGACCUUGGGCGAUUCAAUGAGCCGAUGUCGGAUUAGCUAGUUGGAGGGGUAAAGGCCCACCAAGGCGACGAUCCGUAGCUGGUCUGAGAGGAUGAUCAGCCACACUGGAACUGAGACACGGUCCAGACUCCUACGGGAGGCAGCAGUGGGGAAUAUUGGACAAUGGGCGCAAGCCUGAUCCAGCCAUGCCGCGUGUGUGAAGAAGGCCUUCGGGUUGUAAAGCCCUUUUGUUUGGAAAGAAAAGCAGCAGGUUAAUACCCCGCUGUUCUGACGGUACCCAAAGAAUAAGCACCGGCUAACUUCGUG